CUUUGGUCCCCUCGCAACAGCCAGUCAUGAACUCCGCCAGGCCCGGAAGGGAGCAACGGUAAUGAUUACGCUGUGUGCCGAGGUGUGGCUAUUGGGG
rnacentral:SRP_RNA from 1 species